CUUGGGGCAUGCUAUACAUGCAAGUCGAGCGGACCGACGGGAGCUUGCUCCCUUAGGUCAGCGGCGGACGGGUGAGUAACACGUGGGUAACCUGCCUGUAAGACUGGGAUAACUCCGGGAAACCGGGGCUAAUACCGGAUGCUUGAUUGAACCGCAUGGUUCAAUCAUAAAAGGUGGCUUUUAGCUACCACUUACAGAUGGACCCGCGGCGCAUUAGCUAGUUGGUGAGGUAACGGCUCACCAAGGCGACGAUGCGUAGCCGACCUGAGAGGGUGAUCGGCCACACUGGGACUGAAACACGGCCCAGACUCCUACGGGAGGCAGCAGUAGGGAAUCUUCCGCAAUGGACGAAAGUCUGACGGAACAACGCCGCGUGAGUGAUGAAGGUUUUCGGAUCGUAAAACUCUGUUGUUAGGGAAGAACAAGUACCGUUCGAAUAGGGCGGUACCUUGACGGUACCUAACCAGAAAGCCACGGCUAACUACGUGCCAGCAGCCGCGGUAAUACGUAGGUGGCAAGCGUUGUCCGGAAUUAUUGGGCGUAAAGCGCGCGCAGGCGGUUUCUUAAGUCUGAUGUGAAAGCCCCCGGCUCAACCGGGGAGGGUCAUUGGAAACUGGGGAACUUGAGUGCAGAAGAGGAGAGUGGAAUUCCACGUGUAGCGGUGAAAUGCGUAGAGAUGUGGAGGAACACCAGGGCGAAGGCGACUCUCUGGUCUGUAACUGACGCUGAAGCGCGAAAGCGUGGGGAGCGAACAGGAUUAGAUACCCUGGUAGUCCACGCCGUAAACGAUGAGUGCUAAGUGUUAGAGGGUUUCCGCCCUUUAGUGCUGCAGCAAACGCAUUAAGCACUCCGCCUGGGGAGUACGGUCGCAAGACUGAAACUCAAAGGAAUUGACGGGGGCCCGCACAAGCGGUGGAGCAUGUGGUUUAAUUCGAAGCAACGCGAGAACCUUACCAGUCUUGACAUCCUCUGACAACCCUAGAGAUAGGGCUUCCUCCUUCGGGGCAGAGUGACAGUGUGCAUG
rnacentral:rRNA from 1 species